rnacentral:rRNA from 1 species
GACAGAGGUGCCAAGCGUUAGGCGGAAUCACUGGGCUUAAAGCGUGUGUAGGUGGAUGCCUAAGUACCUUGUGAAAUCCCACGGCUCACCCGUGGAAUUGCUGGGUAUACUGGGUGUCUUGAGCCACUUAGGGGUCGCUGGAACAAACGGUGGAGCGGUGAAAUGCGUAGAUAUCGUUUGGAACGCCAAUGGUGAAAACAGGCGACUGGGAGUGUGCUGACACUGAGACACGAAAGCCAGGGGAGCGAACGGG